rnacentral:rRNA from 1 species
GGGGAAUAUUGCACAAUGGGCGAAAGCCUGAUGCAGCGACGCCGCGUGGGGGAUGACGGUCUUCGGAUUGUAAACCCCUUUCAGUAGGGACGAAGCGCAAGUGACGGUACCUGCAGAAGAAGCACCGGCCAACUACGUGCCAGCAGCCGCGGUAAUACGUAGGGUGCGAGCGUUGUCCGGAAUUACUGGGCGUAAAGAGCUCGUAGGCGGUUUGUCACGUCGUCCGUGAAAACUCGGAGCUUAACUCCGAGCUUGCGGGCGAUACGGGCAGACUUGAGUACUACAGGGGAGACUGGAAUUCCUGGUGUAGCGGUGAAAUGCGCAGAUAUCAGGAGGAACACCGGUGGUGAAGGCGGGUCUCUGGGUAGUAACUGACGCUGAGGAGCGAAAGCAUGGGGAGCAAAC